AGAGUUUGAUUCUGGCUCAGAACGAACGCUGGCGGCGCGUUUAAGCAUGCAAGUCGAGCGGCAAGGGCCUUCGGGCCCCUAGAGCGGCGGACGGGUGAGUAACACGUGGACAAUCUGCCCCCCGGCCCGGGAUAGCCCAGGGAAACCUGGAUUAAUACCGGAUGAGACGGGACCCGCGAUGGCGGGACCCGGGAAAGGCGCUGCGGCGCCGCCGGGGGAUGAGUCUGCGUCCCAUUAGCUAGACGGCGGGGUAACGGCCCACCGUGGCGACGAUGGGUAGCCGGCCUGAGAGGGUGGACGGCCACAUUGGAACUGAGACACGGUCCAGACUCCUACGGGAGGCAGCAGCUAAGAAUCUUCCGCAAUGGGCGAAAGCCUGACGGAGCCGACGCCGCGUGAACGAAGAAGGCCGUGAGGUUGUAAAGUUCUUUUCGGGAGGGGGAACAACCGUGGCAGGGAAUGGCCGCGGGAUGACGUGAAUCCCGGAAUAAGCCCCGGCUAACUACGUGCCAGCCGCCGC
rnacentral:rRNA from 1 species